UAAACAUUCACGCCUUGUAUGCGGGGGCCCCCACAGGCAUCUCACAUGCUGAAGUGAGCUCCAAGUGGAGCAAGCAGCUCCUUGUAACCCAGUUUUAGUAUUGAGGAUGCUGAGAGACAAACUGGUAAAUGUUGGGACUGUACUUCCCAGCCUGCUCUGCAGUGGAACACCUCCCGUAUGGCAAAAUGGGCCAUUUGUCAGUGUCCUCGUUAAGAAUUUGCAGUGUGCUCCCACCCUAGCAUUCCUGAGCGCCCGCUGUAGAGGCUGAGACAAACGUGUGCAGUCCAUCUGCCAAUUUUCCAGUUGCAGCCUCGAUACCUGCUCAUGGGACGCCGCAGAGCAGCAUCUUUCGAGAUUCCUUGGCACUAAACCCCGACCGCCGUGCCUGCAGUCACAUGAAUGCCAUCAGCCUUUCACAGCACCAAGUUCAGCCAGCUUCUUGUUCGGGGUGGAUCCCGCGUGAUCCCCUUCCUCCCCUUGCCUCUGCCACGUACCAUAUAGGAAACCUGGAGGGAGAAGUGGCUGUCACGGAUAUCACCAAAGCUCCAGGGCUGUAUAAUGUUAACGGCCACGAUGCUGAGCACUGCAGCACCGAGACCCCCGUGCCCCUAACCCACACGCCCUUGUAAGCGACAUGCAGCUGUAAUUCUUCCUCUGGAAACGCGAACGCAGAAACAACCCCACUAAUGCUAAUGAGGUAUCAACCAAUACAGUGACAAAUGCCCUACGAAUACCUAAGUAGUUACUCACCGAAUGAAUAAAUAAAUAAGGCAAAGGGCAUUUGCUGCACGCAGAGAUUUAAACCAGCCAGCUGUCUUCUCCUGGGAGAGGCGACUACUCUGCGUCCUGAGCGAGGAAGGGUUUGCAAACUAGAAAAAUGGCAUAUUGACAAGCACGUUACUUAGAGCUCUUGGAUCUUUCAACCAUGCCGGUGGCAUCUGCGUACAAGAACAAGCCGAUUUAUACACCUGAGGAAAAACAAAUUGCAAUACCAACAGUGACCUGUGUAACCAGUUCUGCUCCACUUUUCUUUCCGUGGAUGUCACAGGACUAAAAGCAGAACUGAAUACUGUUAAAUCAACGUAGGUCACAAGUGAGAGCAAUUGAUCUGCUGAGUACAAGUUUCAUGAUGAAUCCCACGAUGUUGGUCCCUUCUUGUAAGAAUCCAGGAACUGGAACAAGAUAGGUCUAUGAACCAAUCCUGAAAUACAUUAGGACACUGAAAUGAAAAGUUACAGAAACACAAGCUGUGUAAGUAUAUUUGAUGCUGUUCAAGCUCACUCCCUCUUCAAAGACUACAAAUUGUUCCAAAAUAUGUCUAUAACCUUCAGAAUUUUAAAUAAAAAAGAGGUGUUAACCUGAAAAUU